rnacentral:rRNA from 1 species
UACGGGGGGGCAAGCGUUGUUCGGAAUUACUGGGCGUAAAGGGCUCGUAGGUGGCCAACUAAGUCAGACGUGAAAUCCCCAGGCUCAACUUGGGAACUGCGUCUGAUACUGGAUGGCUUGAAUUCGGGAGAGGGAUGCAGAAUUCCAGGUGUAGCGGUGAAAUGCGUAGAUAUCUGGAGGAAUACCGGUGGCGAAGGCGGCAUCCUGGACCGAGAUUGACACUGAUGAGCGAAAGCUAGGGGAGCAAACGGG